AUGCUUUACAUUCAUCCAAAUCGUCUGAGGGAAAACCCAGGGACAACUGUAGUCCCUGUAAGAGUACUGGACAUGGCACGAUAUUGCACCAAACUGCUACCUGGGGCCUGCUUUGAAUGUGAGGCAGCUAAUGCGCCUUAUUUUUUUCUUCAGAUGACUGAUGAGAUCCAGGGGAAUCUGGAAGGCCCCAUCGAUGGACAUCACUGUCUCCUCUGUGGAACCCUGGGUGACUCUGGACAUCAUGGAUGCAAAAGAACCUGGAAACCAACUGCAGAAGAAGUGAGCACAAAAUCCAGUAACAUGAGAGAGGACACAGGGAGAAGAUGCCCAUGUGUAAGCCAAGGAGAGAUGUCUCAGAAGAAACAGCUUUGCCAACACCUUGAUCCUGGACUUCCAGCCUCUAGAACCAUAGGAAAAUCCAUUCGUUUGGUUUAGUUCACUCAGUCUGUGGUACUUUGUUAUGGCAGCCCUACCUAGCUAAUAUAUCCUUCAUAGGGAGGCCUCAUACACUUGUGGACAUAUUCUAGUUCUUAGCCAUGUGUCUCUGAUCUCAGGUCUGCCCCUCUGAAAGAAGAGCUUCAUUGCUUCACCGUGUGGAUCUUUCUCCCCUUUAUGGAAUCCCUGUCAGGGGUUGGUCUUGCCUUCAGAUUCUCCUCCUGCUCCAGCCGUGUGUUCCCUCAGACAAUGGUAGCAUAAAAGAGUGCAUUUCCUGAAGUCAAUGACUGUCACUGAUGCAAAAAUACAAAACAUUGCAGAGAGUUGUUGGCACCCCAAAUCCUAUAGCCACUGAGAUCCCCCAGUUUAGAUGGGCAUAUGAUAAUUCUUCCAGGCUAUCCAGCAGGGUAUUGUGAAGUCAGUCACAUUUGUUUACACCAGGGGUUGAAGGAAUAUCAAAUGUAAGGUUCCUGAGGUAGGAAUAAUCAUGGUGUGUUUAAACAAUAGCAAGAAAGCCAGUGCGGUUGGAACAUUGUGACCCUGGGUGGGGAAUUACAUAGAAGAUUAAUUCAGAAUUACUUGUGGUCUAAUUUUGCAUGCUUAUAUCUGAUAAUUGGAACAACUAAUUUGAAGGCAACAAUAUACAAUACAACAAGCAUUGUUGAAUUCCUACUGUCUUAUUUAAUGAAGCUCUGUUUCAUUUCUAAUGUUUUUUAUUACUUACUAUUAUCUUUAAUUGAUUAGUCUUCCAUUCUUACAUCUGGUAAUGUGAUCAACUUUGUUGACGAUAACAAUAUGUAAUAUAACAACCACUGUUAAUUCCUAUCAUCUUGUUUUGAAGGCUUGUAUCAUUUUAUUGUUUUCAUUUUGUUUUGUUUUUAUCUUCAUUAUUGUUAUGUUGUUAUUGUUUUUUUCUCUUUUUUUUUUUAUUUUUUUAUUUUAAGGAUAAAAGGAGGGAAACAUUAACAGACAUACAACAUUUUACAACAUAUCACAAGCACAAUACAGACAAUACAGAGUUA
rnacentral:lncRNA from 1 species